CCUUUGAUAGCUCAGCUGGUAGAGUGGAGGACUGUAGCAUGUGCAUGACAAGUGAUCUUUAGGUUGCUGGUUCAACUCCAGCUCAAAGGA
rnacentral:tRNA from 1 species